rnacentral:rRNA from 1 species
AUGGCCCCCAAGGCGGAGAAGAAGCCGGCGGCGAAGAAGCCCGCGGAGGAGGAGCCGGCGACGGAGAAGGCCCCGGCGGCGAAGAAGCCCAAGGCCGAGAAGCGGCUGCCGGCGGGCAAGACGGCGUCCAAGGAGGGGGCCGGCGGCGAGGCGAAGACGAGGGGCCGGAAGAAGGGCAGCAAGGCGAAGAAGGGCGUCGAGACGUACAAGAUCUACAUCUUCAAGGUGCUGAAGCAGGUGCACCCCGACGUCGGCAUCUCCUCCAAGGCCAUGUCCAUCAUGAACUCCUUCAUCAACGACAUCUUCGAGAAGCUCGCCGCCGAGGCCGCCAAGCUCGCGCGCUACAACAAGAAGCCCACCAUCACCUCCCGGGAGAUCCAGACCUCCGUCCGCCUCGUCCUCCCCGGGGAGCUCGCCAAGCACGCCGUCUCCGAGGGCACCAAGGCCGUCACCAAGUUCACCUCCUCCUAG